UACGAAGGGGGCUAGCGUUGUUCGGAUUCAUUGGGCGUAAAGGGUGCGUAGGCGGUCGGGUAAGUCGGAUGUGAAAUCCUGGGGCUCAACCUCAGAACUGCAUUCGAUACUGCUCGGCUAGAGUACUGGAGAGGUGAGUGGAAUUCACGGUGUAGCAGUGAAAUGCGUAGAUAUCGUGAGGAAGACCAGCGGCGAAGGCGGCUCACUGGACAGUUACUGACGCUGAGGCACGAAGGCCAGGGGAGCAAACGGG
rnacentral:rRNA from 1 species